UUUCACUUUUCACAAAUUUAGAUCUAGGGUUAAUGAGAGAGACGAUUCUGGAGAGAAGAUUCGCCGGCCACUGGAUACACAACCGGUCGACUAUCUGGAUAUAUUGAUGGAAGUGGGUGUGAGUCCAAAGAAUGCAAUAUUGUGAAAAUCAUCAGGAGGAUCAAACCAAAGGCUAUAUUUCCACUUCAUUCAAACCCUAAUUUUACCAUCCUUCAAGAGCUUUAAGGAGAAGAAUCAAAGAAGAACGCAACUUUCCACUGAUCUCCACUUCAUUCAAACCCUAAUUUCAACGAAGGUCCACCGUAGCAAGUCAUAGGGGUUUCGUUAUUUGUUCAUGCGUGUCAGGGAGAUUCGGUUACAAAGAUGAAUAAUAAUGUUUUUGUUUCCAACGUGGCUUCUGUGGUUACACAAGUGAUGAAGAUGACUGACAGAGUUUCUGGUGUCUCAGACUCUCAGCUGAAGGAAGUGGUGUUACUGUAGAGGGAUCUGCUUCUUUCCCAGAAGAGGCUGAUACAGCUCCUGUUGCUGACACAAAGGUUGCUAUUGAUGAAGAUGAUGACUGUGGUGUGGAUCUUUUUGGUGAAGAGACUAAAGAGGAGAAGAAGGCUGCUGAAGGUCAUGCAGUUGCAGUUAAGGCAUCUGGAAAGAAGAAAGAAUGUACCUUGGCUGCUGCUAUUGAAGGAACGUAGGCGAUGUUUUAGUUUGCAAGUUAGAAACCGUUACCGGGUACUGGCGCUAACAUGGGAGCAAUGACAAAAGUUUGAUAUGGGUCAAGUUGGGUAGUGCAGCUUGCUGGGUAUUGUUGUUGUAUGCCUGUAUGAUUUAGUUUAUUAUGUUUAUUUCCUUUUUGUUUCCCUAGGUGUACGGGGUGAGUGAGCCUCUGGCUUGUGGUUUUUUUUAUGUGUUAAUAAUAAAAAUGGUGUUUUGUUUGCCAAACACAACGGGUAAUAUAUGUGGCCCCGGCCGCAA